UACGGAGGGGACUAGCGUUGUUCGGAAUUACUGGGCGUAAAGGGCUCGUAGGCGGCCAACUAAGUCAGACGUGAAAUCCCCAGGCUCAACCUGGGAACUGCGUCUGAUACUGGAUGGCUUGAAUUCGGGAGAGGGAUGCAGAAUUCCAGGUGUAGCGGUGAAAUGCGUAGAUAUCUGGAGGAAUACCGGUGGCGAAGGCGACUUCCUGGCCUGUUCUUGACGCUGAGGCGCGAAAGCUAGGGUAGCAAACGGG
rnacentral:rRNA from 1 species